UUGCUCCAACUGCUAUGGAUAAGUUCGCACACACUGAAGGUUGGAACUUCAUAGGCUCUCCUUUUCUCCUAUUUCAAGUACCAAUUUUACUAUUUUGAUUGUGUUCUUAACAGGUGAGGUUGCCACAGCUAGAGCAGCUGCUGCAUGUAAUACAAUAAUGAUUUUAUCCUACAGGUCGAGUUGUACCAUUGAGGAGGUUGCUUCGAGCUACAAUGGUGUUCGGUUCUUCCAGAUAUAUGUAUACAAGAAGCGAGAUAUAACAGCUACUCUAGUGCAGAGAGCUGAAAGAUGUGGAUACAAGGCCAUCGUCGUAACGGUUGAUACUCCUAGACUUGGUCGAAGUGAGAAAGA